ensembl:lncRNA
GCUGAAGCAGGUAAUGCUGCACCUGAAGUGUGAUACUGACAGCUGAAAGUCAUCUGGUACAUUUGGCGGAUGGUUGAACCAUGACAGUCUCCCUGUGGAGGGAGGCAGCCAUUCACCACUUUGUGACCACAUAAAGGUCUCCCAUGUGAAGCUGAACCAGUGUGCUUAUGGCCCACAGCUGCACACAGCUGCACACCGCUGCACACCGCAUCAUUCACGAAGACUGCGCUGCCACCUUUCCUCUGCCUUUACGAUUGCUAGUAUCCAGCGUCAGGCGUGGGAGUGAGUGGGAAGCCCACUGCUGCUACAUGGCCCUGGUUUCCCUCAUGGAUGAGGUGUUAGGACGGAGGUCUUCUACCACUCGUCCAGGAGGAUGAGGACCAGCUGCAACCAAGAAAGAAAAGAAAGAUUGGAUAUGAGAAUGUGAAGGGAAAUGGAGGAAAGAGCAGAGAAGGCUGUUUGGUUUACUUGAAAAACUUGCCUAAUUUUUUUUGUUAAAGUUCUGUAAAUAAAAAUCGUUGUAAAUA